AUUAAUAUUAACAAUGAUAACAGCAGCAGUUGUCUGCAGGGCCGUGGCAUGAGGCAGGAACAGCAUUCACACAGAUCCAUGGAAUCCUGUGAGGCAAGAAGGAGAAUUAGUUGUGUGCAAUGAGAUUGUGACCCCCAGCAGCAGGCCUCCCUCUGCCCUGCCCCCCCCGGCCCCCCUCUGCCUCCUCCUGGCUGCAGCUCUGGCUCUGCUGGCCGGUCUGAUCUGGCUCAUCGUGGAGCCGGCGUAUCACUGCAGCAGCAGGGCGCCUCGGGGCUUCCACCUGGCUCUAAGGUACGUCAACGGACCCCCGCCUACAUGAAGACCACCCUGAGACCCUCAUGACCGCCGAAAAGUCAUUCAUUCUCAAAAGAAAAGGACUCCUAACAUCAUAGCAUUAGAGAUGUGGAGAGAUGAAGCCAAUAGUCGUAGCCAGAAAGCCUCUGUGCCUUGCAUUACCAAAAAUAUUUAAUGAAGCAGAAAAUAAUUGUUGUAUUAGAAGAUGGGUUGGCUUGCUUGCACAGGUUCCAAUUUCAACUGCUGUCUGUGAUAUUGUAACACUUUGUUUGAUGAUUUAUGUCCAAAUUAUGAAGAAUGUCCUACGUGAUUUCAAUCACUGGCUGCCUUGUUACACUGACAGCACUUGUAUUUAUAAUUCAUCAAGAUGUUUUGCAAAAUGACAAAAUGGAAUUAUUAUUUUUUUUUUUAAUGCAUCCAUCACCUAUUUAUACAUCACUUUUGGCCUUUUCUCAGACAAACAAAAGUGUGUAUGAACUAUGUUUUCUCUUUUUCCAGGCUGCUUUUGUUUUCAAUUAAUUGCUUGAAGACUUAAACAGUCAGCGGAAAAAUGAUCCCUUAAUGUCAAGACAAAUAUCUAUUUAUUGAAGCCAAACUGCUCAUUUGACAUUUUUCUGUACAACUUCCCCACAGAUAAUUUCACUGUGACCAAAAUAAAAGCAUGAUGAAUUAUUUCCAGCAAUAGUUUCCCCCCCUCAAAGACACAGAAGCCAUUUUGUAUUUACUAUCGCUGUGAGAUUUUGACUAAUUUAUAAAGGAAAGAAUGUGAGCAGUUCUUGAGUCCUUGAGAAGAAACUUUGACAUGUGUAAAUCCCACCAAUGUCAACAUCAGCGAACGACGAGGGCAAAUGAAGACAAUAAUGCAGAAACACACACACACACUGCAGUACACAGGGAUCACAGGCAGUGAAACACAAACAUGACGGUACACAGUUUGACUUGUUCGACGGCCGUGAUGCCGGACGCUGCUGCCUGGUGUAGCAUGUGGGGUCAGGGAGGACGGGAGAGUUUCAGGUAGCCAUUAUGUCCCAGAUGUGUGGAAAACAGCGGUUUGUGAAUUGAGCUUUGCUUUGGACAGCGAGCGCCUCCCCACCGUGAGUCUAAGCCGGUUGUCUUUUUGUCAUUUUAUCCAUGGACAUUUCUUCUUUUUAGGAUGACACGGUUGUUGAGUCGAUUCUCUUGUUUGUUGGAGCAGCUUCAUACAACUCAAAUGUCUCAGGGGAAAACGUCUGCCCAGGUUUCCUAAAAGGUUUCAUUUCAAGAGGAUGACAUUACCGUCCAAUUUUGUGUCAGUGGCUGCAGGAUGAUGAAGACGUUGUGUGUUUGGCAAAAUCAUAGAAAAGAGAACUUCUAAGUCUAGAAAGAUUGAACUUUUAGUUUGUCAUUGUUUCAGAAACCGAUAUUGCAUCAAGUCAAAUGUUUAUGCUUUUGUACAUGUAUUUCAAUAUGACCAAUAAAAGGAAAUGUAUGAAA
ensembl:lncRNA